rnacentral:rRNA from 1 species
AUUGAACGCUGGCGGCAGGCCUAACACAUGCAAGUCGAGCGAGCGGCGGACGGGUGAGUAAUGUAUGGGGACCGCCCGAUAGAGGGGGGAAACUUCUGGAAAAGGUAGCUAAUACCGCAUAUUAUCGGAUAACCCAUAUGGUAUUAGCUAGUAGGGGAGGUAAUGGCUCACCUAGGCGACGAUCCCUAGCUGGUAUGGGAGGAUGAUCAGCCACACUGGGACGGAGACAAGGGCCAGACUCCUACGGAGGCAGCAGGGGGGAAUAUUGCACAAUGGGCGCAAGCCUGAUGCAGCCAUGCCGCGUGUAUGAAGAAGGCCCUAGGGUUGUAAAGUACUUUCAGUCGGGAGGCGUGACCGAAAGAAGAAGCACCGGCUAACUCCGUGCCAGCAGCCGCGGUAAUUC